rnacentral:rRNA from 1 species
UACACUCCUACGGGAGGCAGCAGUGGGGAAUAUCGCACAAUGGGCGCAAGCCUGAUGCAGCCAUGCCGCGUGUAUGAAGAAGGCCUUCGGGUUGUAAAGUACUUUCAGCGGGGAGGAAGGCGAUAAGGUUAAUAACCUUGUCGAUUGACGUUACCCGCAGAAGAAGCACCGGCUAACUCCGUGCCAGCAGCCGCGGUAAUACGGAGGGUGCAAGCGUUAAUCGGAAUUACUGGGCGUAAAGCGCACGCAGGCGGUCUGUCAAGUCGGAUGUGAAAUCCCCGGGCUCAACCUGGGAACUGCAUGCGAAACUGGCAGGCUAGAGUCUUGUAGAGGGGGGUAGAAUUCCAGGUGUAGCGGUGAAAUGCGUAGAGAUCUGGAGGAAUACCGGUGGCGAAGGCGGCCCCCUGGACAAAGACUGACGCUCAGGUGCGAAAGCGUGGGGAGCAAACAGGAUUAGAUACCCCAGUAGUCC